rnacentral:rRNA from 1 species
GUCGGUAAAACUCGUGCCAGCCACCGCGGUUAUACGAGCAGCUCAAGUUGAUGAUGCGCGGCGUAAAGCGUGGUUAAGAAGAAAUUGUAAGUAAAGUCGAACACUUUCAAGGCCGUCAGAGGCGUCCGAAAAGUUGAAGCCCGAUUACAAAAGUAACUUUAUUACCCCUGACCCCACGAAAGCUGGCGAAACAAACUGGGAUUAGAUACCCCACUAUG